rnacentral:SRP_RNA from 1 species
CGGCUGUAAUGGUCAAACGGUGAAGGCUCUCACUCAACACUCACCUUUCCCACACCCACCCCCGUCAGAUCCCCUCCGUUCGACGCCCAGCCCGAACGCCGCGGUGGCUGCGCGCUCGCAUGGGUAACCUGCGAUUUGCCGCGCUGCCCUAAGCAAUGGAGAUGACACUUGAGGGAGGUUUCACUCUGCAGAGGACUCUCCCCCGUCGCGUGGCGGGCUGGAUUACGAUCGCGGAGGGCGUGGGUUGGAUGGGCGAGACGGAGAAUGCCGACAUCAUUUUU